rnacentral:lncRNA from 1 species
CUGUAGAAGAGAUCACCCUCAACUGGGAUGUGUGGAAAGAUGGGACACCCAAUCUUUGGGCAUUGGAAAGAGAGGAGGAAGAGAAGGGGCGUGAAGAUGAAGAGGAGAUGGAGAUCUAAAUUCUUAAUUCAAUUUUUUUGAAAUCCUAGGAGACCAUCUCUUAAAGAGACCUUUUCUUGAUUCCAAAUCAAUUUUCAAUCAAUCUAAAAAGAUUAGUCCUUAUCUCAUAAGGUUUCUUACUUUUUAAUCUAAUUUUUUUUUUAAAUCAGACCCA